rnacentral:rRNA from 1 species
UGAGGAAUAUUGGUCAAUGGAGGCAACUCUGAACCAGCCAUGCCGCGUGCAGGAAGACGGCCCUAUGGGUUGUAAACUGCUUUUAUACAGGAAGAAACUCACCCACGUGUGGGUAACUGACGGUACUGUAAGA